UUGUAUAUUCUACAAACAUGCAGAAAUUCAUUCUGUUAGCAUGUAUCCCUCUCAUCUUCGCCAUAAUGUUAACCGCAAAUGAAGCCAAGCAGCAAUAUGGUUCUGAGGAGGAGCUAAAUUGUGACAUAAAAACGUGGCCCGGGUGUAGUUACCCCCAGUCCUGCCAAGGCUGUCCACCAGGUGCUGGGAAUGGGACAUCGUUUGCCUUCUUCGAUCAGGCACAAAAUAAGUGCGUAGAAGUAAACAACCAGAGUUGCAACUUCUUCAGAUCGAUGGACGAGUGUGAACAUUACUGCUCUAUUGAUUUAAGUUCCUUCUAUCCGUCAUAUGAACGAUAACAAGCGGAAAAUCUUCGCCCUUGAUAUGACGUAUGCGCUGUUAACACAGGAAUUUUCGCAGAAGAACGCUCUCCAUUGAAUUGCACUAGCGGUGAUUGGCAUUUAGAAAAAAACAAAAGACAACAACAUUUUGCAACUGGAUUUUCAUAGUUUUGUUCACUCUACGACUAUUUUACCCAAAUUAAACAGUGUGUACUGCACAUGAAGUUUCAAGA